AUUGCAGGUAUGUAAAUAAUCAUAGUGGAGAGAAACUCUAUGAAUGUAAUGAACGUUCUAAAGCCUUUUCAUGUCCCAGUCAUCUCCAAUGUCAUAAAAGAAGACAAAUUGGAGAGACAACACAUGAACAUAAUCAAUGUUGUAAAGCCUUUCCAACACCCAGUCAUCUUCAAUAUCACAAAAGAAUCCAUACUGGAGAGAAACCUUAUGAAUGCCAUCAAUGUGGUCAAGACUUUAAAAAAUGCAGUCAUCUCCAAUGUCAUAAAAGAACACAUACUGGAGAGAAAUCUUAUGAAUGUAAUCAAUGUGGUAAAGCUUUUACAAGUCACAGUGGUCUCCAAUAUCAUAAAAGAACACCUACUGGAGAGAAACCCUAUGAAUGUCAUCAAUGUGGUAAAGCCUUUGCACGACUCAGUAGUCUCCACUGUCAUAAAAGAACACAUACUGGAGAGAAACCCUAUGAAUGUAAUCAAUGUGGUAAAGCCUUUUCACAACACAGUCAUCUCCAAUCUCAUCAAAGAACACAUACUGGAGAGAAACCCUAUGAAUGUAUUCAAUGUGGUAAAGCCUUUGCACAACUCAGUAAUCUCCAACGUCACAAAAGAACACAUACUGGAGAGAAACCGUAUGAAUGUAAUCAAUGUGGUAAAGCCUUUGCAAGUCACAGUGGUCUCCAAUCUCAUCAAAGAACACAUACUUGAGAGAAACCCUAUGAAUGUAAUCAAUGUGGUAAAGCCUUUGCAGGUCACAGUUGUCUCCAAUAUCAUAAAAGAACCCAUAAUGGAGAGAAACCUCGAAACGUAAUCAAUGUGGUAAAAGACUUUUCACAAAGUUGUCUCUAUAAUCAUAAAAGAACCCGUAUUAUAAAAGAACCCAUCUCAUAAAAGAACACAUACUGGAGAGAAACCCUAUCAAUGUAUUCAAUGUGGUAAAGCCUUUGCACAACUCAGUAGUCUCCAAUAUCAUAAAAGAACACAUUCUGGAGAGAAACCCUAUGAAUGUAAUCAAUGUGGUAAAGCCUUUGCAGGUCACAUGGGUCUCCAAUAUCAUAAAAGAACACAUACUGGAGAGAAACCCUAUGAAUGUAAUCAAUGUGGGAAAGCAUUUGCACAUCACACUCCAAUGCCAUAAAAGAACACACUGGAGAAAAAUCCUAUGAAUGUAAUCAAUGUGGUAAAGCCUUUGCAAGACCCAGUCGUCUCCAAUGUCAUAAGAGAACACAUACUGGAGAGAGACCCUAUGAAUGUAAUUGGUAAAGACUUUGCACGUCACAGUCAUCUCCAUCGUCAUAAAACUGAACAUACUGGAGAGAAACCUGAUGAAUGUAAUCAAUGUGGUAAAGCCUUUGCAGGUCACAGUUGUCUCCAAUAUCAUAAAAGAACGCAUAAUAGAAAGAAACCUUAUAAAUACAAUCAAUGUGAUAAAGCCUUUUCACAAAGUUAUUGUCUCUAUAAUCAUAAAAGAACCCAUAUUCGAUAGAAACCUCAUGAAUGUUGUCAGUGUGGUAAAAUCUGUGCAUAUCCCACUCGUCUUCAAAACGUAAAAGAUUCCACACUGGAAAGAAACCUCAUGAAUGUAAUCAAUGUGGUAAAGACUUUUUACAACUCUAUAGUCUCCAUUAUUUUUAAAGAACACAUAGAAGACAAAAACCUUAGGAAGGUUAUCGGUGUUGUAAAGCAUUUGAUGUCACGGUCAUCUAUGAUGACAUAAAAGAUCACAUACAACUGAGAAUCCACGUGAAUGUUAUGAAUGUAGUAAAACCUUUGCAUGUCAGAGUUCUUUAGGCAUACACAAGACAAACCACACUGCAGAGAAACCCCAAAUUAAAUGUUUGCUUUUCUGAGAGUUGGUUUGGUCAUGAGAUCUGUUCCUAGCCAUUGAAAGGCUGAGGGAGAAACCCUCUGAGUAUAUUUAAUAUGGCAAAGCCUUUGCACAAUUUUGUAGUCAUCUUCAUCAUGGAAGAAUUUGAACUGGGUAGAAACAUUGUGAAUCUAUUUAGUAUAGUGAAGCUUUUUCACUGAACUUCUUUUUAUGUAUAUUCUUCUUUUUAUGAGACUAUUCAUACUGGAGACAGAUGCUAUGAAUGUCAGCAGUGUGGUAAAGCUUUUAAGUUGUUGGGUCCACUGAGGUUCAACACAGCUCACACUCCAGGACAAUGCAAAUGAUAAGAAUUUAUUGGGCUGGGUGGUGGUGGUGCACUCCUUUAAUCCUAGCACUCGGGAGGCAGAUGCAGGCAGAUUUCUGAGUUAGAGGCCCAACAAGUCUAGAGUGUGUUCCAGGACAGCCAGGGCUACACAGAGAAACCCUGUCUGGGGGGGAAAAAAGGGAAAAAAAAAGAAUUUAUUGGAAUUAAGUCACUACUUAUCAGUGAGAGACACAAAAGCAUACUCAGAAGUUUAUCUUCAAAACCCCACCGCCCACAUCCAACCUGAGACAGAAAGUUGUAUAGCUUUCAAACACAAAAUCCUCAAAGUCCUGGGCCAACUUACAGCUACAUUUUCUCCCAAAUCAAAACUUAUUUUUAUUGAAUGAGUCAAUAAAUGGUGAUUGC
rnacentral:lncRNA from 1 species